UCCACUGCAGCCCUUACUUUUUAUUUGACUGUGACUUUUCCUUCAAGAUCAAAGGUACGCAUCAAUCACCUAUUUGGAAAGACGUUUUGCAACAUCUUGCUAUCUGACUAAGGAUGCCUGUCUUAUUUUCACCCUGCACUUUCCUGACCUUCCAACUAGAGUCUAAGUUCCUUGACGACUGUAGUAUUUCAUUCAAUUUUGUAUCCCUUAGUCUAGAUCAAUGCCCAGAUCGUACUAUGUAUUAAUAUACCUAAUACCACUUUAAAUGAAAGUAUGAAAAAUGUAAGAUAUAUAUAUAUGAAAAAAGGUAAUAUAGUGAUUACUUUUCACAGUCAUGUGGCUACCCCUUUCUUUAAAAUAAACCAUUUUUGAAGAUUUCACUAUGAAGAUGUUUUUCACUUAGUGCCAUGUUUACCAAAUGGGAUCCUGAUUGCCUGAAAGAAUGAAUGUAAAACUGGACGUGCACAUGGGAUUCUUGGCACUUAGGAGAAUCUGACUUAGCCCUGUUAUCAACAAUGACAGCAACUACAGGAAUGAAACAUGAAAAAUUAUUUAAUAUUGUCAAUUUGUAAGAAAUCAGCAGAUGACAAAACCCUUCUAGGUGUUUAUCGAUUCUGUUUUGUUGUAAUGAAUUCAGAUAUGUUUCAAGUUGGUAUGUUCAGCAAUUUUUGAUAUUGGCUAAAUGUUAUAAUGACAGAUAGCAUGUGGAUGGGCUUGAUAAACAUUCUUAUGUCAACCAAUAGCUAUUUAUGUAAAAUUAUGGGAAAUUUUCAUGCAUGUUAAGAAACUCUAUUAAAGCAAAAAGAUAACAUGAAAUUUUAGAGUAUGUGAUGCACAAAUAUUUUUCUAGAGUCUCUUUUGUAGCCUUUUCUUAUACAUAGAUUUUUUUCCUAAAGCAAAUUCAAACAACAAAGGCUAUAUACACUGGAAAUUCUGGUCCUAUAUGUAAUGAAAAAUAUCAUGUUUGACAGUAACAAGCUGAAGUAGCCUUAUAUCUAUUUCUAAUCUAAUUUGUUAUGUUUGCAUAGACAUAAGUUACAAAAAAUAUAAUUAAAAUGCUAAAAUUGUGUUGGUUAUAUUUAAUUCUGCUGUUAUUUAAGAUACAUACUUCUUGAUCAGAUAUGAGAGUUUACUAAAAUAUAAAAGGAAUCAACAGCAGUAUCUUUUUUAUGUGCUUUGGACAUAUAGCUAUGAUAUUAAUCACCUGAGACCUUAUGGACCAAAGGUCUAAUAAACAACUCUGCCAAAUUCAUAGGAUUUAAAAAACUAAAAUUUCCAGAGGAUAGAGGGAUAGUGUAAUUUACAAUAUAACUUGUAUUAUGUGUACCUAAUUGUGUUUUUAUUUAUUUCUCAUAUUAUCUAAUAGUUGGCCAAUGACAACUAUAAAUCACUUAGACUUCCUUUUAAAAAAUGUCUGAUAUUUGUAACCUACCUUAAGCCAUCUGGAGAACCCUUCUGGAUAGUCUUAUAUCUAUGCACUGAAUUAAUCUGAGGAAUACUUUUGUUCCCUGCAUAUAAAAUCUAUUACUUAGUGAUUUCAGAGCAAUGUUAUACAUUGCAUUUUUAAAGUUUGUGUUUUUAGAUUAAGAAGUGGCCAGGUUACUGCCCUUACUACCUAAUUUUUAUAUUAAUAACACUCAACAAACAUGAUGGAACAAAGAUGCUCAAGCAAGCACUCAAAAGUACCAAAUCUAGAAAAAGGGAAUUUGUGCUUCAUUAUUAAUCAUAGUCAUAAUCAUUUGUCUACUUUGGGGAUCAGGAAGUAAGUUUAAUUCUAAAAUUAGGAGCAUGGAAGUCAGCUUUGAAUGUUUUCCAAACACCCCCAUGACUAUGGAUUUGUGGAAUGGAAAUGGUAUUUCUUAAGAAAAGAAUACCCCAGCUGCUAAUAAGUCCCAAUGAUGCUUAUCUUUGAGGAAAAAAAUCGUCUCAGUCAUUGAGAACCCAAGACAACUUCCAGCAGGAAAUUUUGUAACUUCAACACAAGCCUAAUCAGCAAAUCCCCAGCCAUGAAAAAUAGUUCUAGUUUAAUAUGUUGAAAAUGAAACCAUCGCCCAGAACAUUUCAUUUCCCAUUGUCCAUUUGCAGUCUCAUUCCAGCCAAAGUUACAAGAUUUGGCCAUGCACAUUUUUAGUGUCUAGGCAGGUAUUUACAUAUUUUGUAGUUUGUUGUAACAGAACAUUUUUGUCUUUCUCUGAAGAUUAUGUACACAGUCUUUAAGAACAUUUUGGAAAGAGCAGGAACCUCAAAUUCACAUGUAUUUUUCAUUACUUUCCAACUGCUAUUUCUUAGAUUGUCAGAAUUGGAAUAACAACCUGAGGACGAUCACUUUGCGCUUUGCUGAAAGGGAAGACUGGUUGCCUCUGAAUCCCUAAUUGAGACCAAAUUAGAAUAAACGGUUGUUAAGCUCUCCAGCCUAAUUGUGGAUGGUAUGUAUCUGACAUUUGCUAAGAUAUAAAUUAAAAUAAAAAGAGCAUUUUCAGAGGCAUUGGAGGAGCUUUGCAUUAAUGAUGGCCUCCCUUGCAUUGCAGACGGUUUGCAUUAUUCAUAAUGUCAUUAUCAGGACUAUUCAGUACUGAGUGAUUUGUUCACCCAGAAAUUUGUACAGCCUGACCAGAUAAGUAAUAUCUGGCGUUUGUAUUUAUUCUUAUGACUGCUUACUCGGGUAUGACUUCUUUUAUCUCUGUUGUGAGCUUACUUACUGCUGCUCAGCAGGAUGUACCAUCAGUGACAUAAGCUUUAUUCAUUUACAGAUGCAUAACGCUGCAUCAAAGUAUUAAAUCCUGCAAAUGUGGGGAAAACUCAAAGGCUUUAAUCCUCAGACUGGCAACAGUCAUUGUACUGCUGCCAUGCAUCAAGCUGAAGUUAAGUUUUGAGUCUGCGUGCAGUCAGGAAGGCACACAGGCAUGAGCUGCCUGCUUGUUUAUUUAAGAUAGAAGUCGUCCCUGCUGCCACAAUAACUUUGCCAUUCAAAUUCCUUUCAUCCACACAGAAUGAAGUAACCAGAGUCACACAAUGAAAUGCCAACGUGUCCUUUCAGAACUGAUUGGUCUAUUUCAUAACUCCUUUCUUAUUCUAAUUAAACUAGCUAAGGAAAGAACUAUGUUUUAGCCUCUUGGGCUGUGGAAUGACAAGGAGUGGCAGGAGAGAAUCACAGCAUUUAGAACGCUCUCUGCUGUGAAGGCAAGGUUUAAAGCUCUAGAGGGUUUUCUUUUUUCUUUUUUCCCAGUAAAGAGAUCAUCUUUUGAAAUCUUCUUCAUCAGCUCCCCUCUACACAUACCAAUUUCAGUUUUAUAACACCCCUUGCUGUGCAUCUCUUGGCAGGAAACUUGCCCAUCUUGCAGAGUCUUGCAUGAAUAAUUCAUUUAAGUGUCAUGCUGACUCUCAAAAGCUUGGAUUAGGGUUUUGGGGGAAAUAUUUAAUAGGAUUCUUCCAAACAAUCCAAAAUAUAGUUCUGAGUUCUAUGUGUCCCCUCUCUACGUGUAAUGAAAAAAUUAAUGUGCUGAAAGCCCAAACACACCUGAGGUCAUUCAACCUGUGUCUAGUUAGACAGUAAUCUCACAAUGAAGGUUAGUGUUUUAGAUUAGGGUCACUGCUUUUCAGACACAUGAUUCUCAAUUAUAGUAUUUGAGUUUAAGACAAUGGUACAAUUUCUUUUUGUUAGAUCUUGAGGUCUCAGCCACUAUUAGAUAAUAUCAAAGGACGUUGAUGAACCCAGGCAGAAAAGCAACUAAGACAAAGUAAUGAGUUGGAUGUGAGUGAAAAAUCCCUACACAGAGCAGCCAUUGUGAUGUCCUGAUGUUACUUAUGGACAUUGUCCUUCUAAUAGUUGUCUUAGUCUGGCUGUCAGCCAACCUAGAGUAUUUAAAGAUUUUUCUUAAGACUCAGAAAUUUAUAUCUUUUAAUCCCUGUCUGAUGAUUUCAUUUUAUCUCUUCACCUUUACCUCUUCCUUUCUCCACAAAGACUUCCUUUGCAAUUCCAUCAAAGUCUACUUUCACCAAAGAGUUUGCAAAUACUCGGGUUACCCUAUAAAGGAGCAAUGGUCUAAAUUGUAUCCCACUCUCUCUCUCUCUGAAUGAUUUGCAUUUUAAAUGAAGGAGAACAUCAAAACCUUGAACAAAACUCUAUGGAGGCUUUUAUUUUUUUCCUUAAUGACUUUGAGAAUAACAAAAGCAGUGCUCCCACAUUGUGGAAAAAUAAAACAAAUAAAGCAAAAGAAAGAAAAAAUUUAAAGAUAAUAAUUACCAAUAACAUCUUGGCAUUAUGGUUUAUUAAUGAGUAAUCAUUUUUAUAUCUAUAUAUUGAUCUCUCUAUAGGUUUAAAGAUCCAUACAUCCAUGUAUAUAACUUUACAAAGAUGAAAUAAUCUGCCCUAAAUGGUAAACAGCAGUGGAAUGUCUGCUCCAUAGGUCUGCCCUAUCUAGAUCAUAGGGUUUUCAAUUGUGUCACAGAGCCCUGCAUAUUUGUUGUAGGAGCUAAACUUGGAUGUCAUUUUUUUCUACCUCGGGAUCUAUGACACCUUUUCAACUCCUCUGUGCUUCUUGAAACCAGCUUGAAUGGAUUCUGUUAAUAGGCACUCCUACCCUCUGGCUUCCCCUUGGGUUCAACCAAAGAUAGUAUCAGAAGCUCAUGAGGAGGGAUGAUAGUGGGAUUAGAGUAUUUAUUCUUCCUCUCUUGGGAGAGGGUGUUAACAGCACAUACCAUUUUCUGCUUCUUGGUUUUAGGAACCACCCCACCUCCUUUGGGCCCAAGGCUGGCAGGAAAUCCUCAAUUUAGUUAUUAUUACCGAAAAGGAGGCUAUCCUAAAAAAUAGAGAUUUUAAACUACAGUCAUUUUAUUUGACAUGAGAUUCUGCAAUUUUUGCAAGGUUUGGUAGAGAAGGCUCAUUUCUGCUUGUGACCAGGUAGAGCAUCUUCUUCCAAAAAGGCUCCCUCUUAUGGAUGGAAAGUUGGUAAUGACUGUGGGCUUGAAAUUCAGCUUAGACUGAGGGCCAGGAGUCCUAGAUUCCCUUUCACACAGGCCUCUCCAGGGCUGUGGCUGCUGGAAUUUCCAAAAUUCAUAAUAUGGUGUCUGGGUUCCAAGAGUAAUCUUCUCAAAGAAAACCAGACAUAUAAAUGUUAUCAUUUUAAAGAUACACAGCAUUGUUUUGUACUAUAGUCACAAAUGCUCUCAGAUUCAAGGGAAGAGAACAGAGACACUGACUCUCAGUCUACCUCUCAGUUGGAGGAAUCAAAGGGAUGCUGUUUUAUAAAGAAAACCUGGAAUGAGAAAUAUUGUUGCCACUUUUUUUUAAUAGAGUGCAUCAGACUGCUUCAGACCAUCAUCAACUCUAGGAUAUUGUGCUAUCUUUUGGGUUUCCUUUAUACUCUGUUUAUACCUUUGUAAAUAAUCGCUACUAAAUUACCUUCAAAUUUCCAAAGUUGAUGAUGCCAUAUCUGCCUGCUGAGACAUUAUCCCCUAGGGCUGAAACUGGAUGAGUGCAAGGAAGGUGGUGAAAGGUGGUUCCAGUUAAGCAAGGUGCCAGGAACCCACCUCAACCUCGACUAUCGUAUGACUAUCUUUACUUUUAAUACAUAUAUUUUGCACUUCAUAAACUCUCAUUCGAAUCAUGUGUCCUUCU
rnacentral:lncRNA from 1 species